rnacentral:tRNA from 1 species
GAUUGUUUAGUUUAUCUAAAAUAGAUAUUUUGAAAGUAUCAGAAAAGAAAAAUUCUUAACAAUCU